GCCAGAGUGGCGGAAUUGGUAGACGCACUGGACUCAAAAUCCAGCGUUCGCAAGGAUGUGCGGGUUCGACUCCCGCCUCUGGUA
rnacentral:tRNA from 2 species